AAGAGUUUGAUCAUGGCUCAGAUUGAACGCUGGCGGCAUGCUUAAUACAUGCAAGUCGAACGGUAACAGGUUCUUCGGAAUGCUGACGAGUGGCGGACGGGUGAGUAAUGCAUAGGAAUCUGCCCAUGUAGUGGGGGACAACCUGGGGAAACCCAGGCUAAUACCGCAUGUUUCUGAGAUAAAGAGGGCCUCUUCUUGAAAGCUCUUGCUAUUAGAUGAGCCUAUGUCAGAUUAGCUAGUUGGUAGGGUAAAGGCCUACCAAGGCUACGAUCUGUAGCUGGUUUGAGAGGACGAUCAGCCACACUGGGACUGAGACACGGCCCAGACUCCUACGGGAGGCAGCAGUAGGGAAUAUUGGACAAUGGGCGAAAGCCUGAUCCAGCAAUGCCGCGUGUGUGAAGAAGGCCUGCGGGUUGUAAAGCACUUUUGUUUGGGAGGAAAAGCUUAAGGUUAAUACCUUUAAGUGUUGACGUUACCAAUAGAAUAAGCACCGGCUAACUCUGUGCCAGCAGCCGCGGUAAUACAGAGGGUGCGAGCGUUAAUCGAAAUUACUGGGCGCAAAAGAGUACGUAGGCGGGUAUUUAAGUCGGAUGUGAAAUCCCCGGGCUCAACCUGGGAAUUGGACUCGAAACUGGAUAACUAGAGUACAGCAGAGGAAAGUGGAAUUUCUAGUUUAGCUUUGAAAUUCGUAGAUAUUAGAAGUAACACCAGUGGCGAAGGCGACUUUCUGGGCUGAUACUGACGCUGAGGUACGAAAGCGUGGGGAGCAAACAGGAUUAGAUACCCUGGUAGUCCACGCCCUAAACGAUGAGAACUAGCUGUUGGAGGAAUAUAAUCCUUUAGUAGCGUAGCAAACGUGAUAAGUUCUCCGCCUGGGGAGUACGGCCGCAAGGCUAAAACUCAAAUGAAUUGACGGGGGCCCGCACAAGCGGUGGAGCAUGUGGUUUAAUUCGAUGCAACGCGAAGAACCUUACCUGGUCUUGACAUGUAGUGAAUUUUUCAGAGAUGAGAAAGUGCCUUCGGUAACACUAACACAGGUGCUGCAUGGCUGUCGUCAGCUCGUGUCGUGAGAUGUUGGGUUAAGUCCCGUAACGAGCGCAACCCUUGUCCUUAGUUGCCAGCACAUAAUGGUGGGAACUCUAAGGAGACUGCCGGUGACAAACCGGAGGAAGGUGGGGACGACGUCAAGUCAUCAUGGCCCUUACGACCUGGGCUACACACGUGCUACAAUGGCCGGUACAGAGGGCAGCGAAAGGGCGACCUGGAGCGAAUCCCUUAAAGCCGGUCGUAGUCCGGAUUGGAGUCUGCAACUCGACUCCAUGAAGUUGGAAUCGCUAGUAAUCGCGAAUCAGAAUGUCGCGGUGAAUACGUUCCCGGGCCUUGUACACACCGCCCGUCACACCAUGGGAGUGGAUUGCAAAAGAAGUAGGUAGCUUAACCUUCGGGAUGGCGCUUACCACUUUGUGCUUCAUGACUGGGGUGAAGUCGUAACAAGGUAGCCAAGGGCGAA
rnacentral:rRNA from 1 species